rnacentral:rRNA from 1 species
GAGUUUGAUCGUGGCUCAGAUUGAACGCUGGCGGCAUGCCUUACACAUGCAAGUCGAACGGCAGCACGGGAGCUUGCUCCUGGUGGCGAGUGGCGAACGGGUGAGUAAUGCAUCGGAACGUAUCCUGGAGUGGGGGAUAACGUAGCGAAAGUUACGCUAAUACCGCAUAUUCUGUGAGCAGGAAAGCGGGGGACCUUCGGGCCUCGCGCUCUUGGAGCGGCCGAUGUCGGAUUAGCUAGUUGGUGAGGUAAAGGCUCACCAAGGCGACGAUCCGUAGCAGGUCUGAGAGGAUGAUCUGCCACACUGGAACUGAGACACGGUCCAGACUCCUACGGGAGGCAGCAGUGGGAAUAUUGCACAAUGGGGGAAACCCUGAUGCAGCAACGCCGCGUGAGUGAUGAAGGUCUUCGGAUUGUAAAGCUCUGUCUUUUGGGACGAUAAUGACGGUACCAAAGGAGGAAGCCACGGCUAACUACGUGCCAGCCGCCGCUGUAAC